ACCCUGCUCAUUAGGCCCCGGCCGCGCCUGGCCGCCCAGACUCUUGGUGGAACCAGAAUGCUGGGAGCGGGCGGCUCCUUGAACCCUGAACAAUCGUCUGUGAGGAGUUAAUCCAGACCAAGGGCCGGGGUGCCCAGAAAGCUGGGUGCUGGGAGCUCCCUCUCCCACGCCUAGGACGGGCCUGGGCAGCCUGCACACUGGCCCAGCUCCCGGGUCUCCAGGUGGCCAGGAAGCAGCAGGGGCCCCAGAGGGAGCCCAGCAGAGCUCUAGGCAGUUCAGGUGGACUUGUGUUUAGAGGCUGCCUCUCUCAGGGGAGGGCUGAGCCAUGCCGACAUUACCUCACUCCGGCUCAGUGACCCCCAGGCAGAGGAGGAAACUAAAGCUCAGAAACUCAAGCUUCAGAAGUGGUGAAACCACAACAGGGAGCCGGGAGGUCAAAUUCCAAGUUCUGUAGGUCAGAAAUCCCACUGGACUAAAAUCAAGAUGUCUGCACGGCUGUAUUCCUUCUGGAGGCUCUAGGGAAGAACCCAUUUCCUUGUCUUUUCCAGUUUCUAAAGGCCACCUCAUUUCUUGGCUGGGGCCCCUUCCUUCAUCUUUAAAGCCAACAGGGUAAGAUGUUCCAAUCGAUCUUCCUCUGACCCUCCUGCCUCCCUCUUAUAAAGACCCUAUGAUUACAUGGGGCCCACCAGAUGAUUCAGGAUCACCUUCUCAUCUCAAGAUCCCUAACUUAAUCACACCUGCAAAGUCCCUUUUGCCAUGGAAGGUCACAUGUUCACAGAUUUGGGGGAUUAGGACAUGUGCGUCUUUGGGAGAAGGGCCAUUUUUCUGCCCACCACACACAUCAUCUAUGAUUA